GCUCUUCUGGAAGAGUCUAAACAGCCUUAGGUCCAGAGCGGUACCAGGGAGCAAUCCCUGGUACGUGGUA
rnacentral:ribozyme from 1 species